rnacentral:rRNA from 1 species
GAUGAACGCUGGCGGCGUGCCUAACACAUGCAAGUCGAGCGAGAAGCUCGUGACGGACGCUUCGGUUGAAGUCACGAGUGGAAAGCGGCGGACGGGUGAGUAACGCGUAGGCAACCUGCCCUUUGCAGAGGGAUAGCCUCGGGAAACCGGGAUUAAAACCUCAUAAUACCGCAGUGAGACAUCUCACAGUGGUCAAAGAUUUAUCGGCAAAGGAUGGGCCUGCGUCUGAUUAGUUAGUUGGUGGGGUAACGGCCUACCAAGGCGACGAUCAGUAGCCGACCUGAGAGGGUGAUCGGCCACAUUGGAACUGAGACACGGUCCAAACUCCUACGGGAGGCAGCAGUGGGGAAUAUUGCACAAUGGGGGAAACCCUGAUGCAGCAACGCCGCGUGAAGGAUGAAGGCCUUUGGGUCGUAAACUUCUGUUCUAAGGGAAGAUAGUGACGG